GUGGGGAAUCUUAGACAAUGGGGGAAACCCUGAUCUAGCCAUGCCGCGUGAUCGAUGAAGGCCUUAGGGUUGUAAAGAUCUUUCAGGUGGGAAGAUAAUGACUGUACCACCAGAAGAAGCCCCGGCUAACUCCGUGCCAGCAGCCGCGGUAAUACGGAGGGGGCUAGCGUUGUUCGGAAUUACUGGGCGUAAAGCGCACGUAGGCGGAUUGGAAAGUUGGGGGUGAAAUCCCGGGGCUCAACCCCGGAACUGCCUUAAAAACUCCCAGUCUUGAGUUCGAGAGAGGUGAGUGGAAUUCCGAGUGUAGAGGUGAAAUUCGUAGAUAUUCGGAGGAACACCAGUGGCGAAGGCGGCUCACUGGCUCGAUACUGACGCUGAGGUGCGAAAGCGUGGGGAGCAAACAGGAUUAGAUACCCGGGUAGUCC
rnacentral:rRNA from 1 species